UACGUAGGGGGCGAGCGUGGUCCGGAGUUACUGGGCGUAAAGCGCACGCAGGCGGUCUGUUAAGUUUGGAGUGACAGUUGGUGGCUUAACUGCCAAAGUGCUUCGAAAACUGACAGACUUGAGGGCUUCAGAGGGACACGGAAUUCCGGGUGGAGUGGUGAAAUGCGUAGAGAUCCGGAGGAACACCAAAGGCGAAGGCAGUGUCCUGGGGAGUACCUGACGCUCAGGUGCGAAAGCCAGGGGAGCGAACGGG
rnacentral:rRNA from 1 species